CGAGCACCCAUAAUCAUUUUUAUAAAAGAAGAACCCUUCAGUUAAAUCUUUCUCUGCACAGCGCACCAUCUUUUGAUCUUUGACAUUUACAGCCUCCUAGAUGAUAGGUGGAAAUGUGUGAGUCCCCGGGAACAGCAGAGAUCAGGAGGGGAAGCAAUUACAUUCCAAAUUCCACUUUACUGUUUAUGCCAUCAGCUUCAGAAAGUGCCCCUACAGCAAAA